rnacentral:precursor_RNA from 10 species
UUUGGCUCUGUUGCUAUUCGGGCAAUCGGUCCGCCUGAUAUUUUGACUCAUGCCUCUAUUGUCGACACGGGUGAGCAAACUCUCAGGUGCGCCGAGGGCUUGAUGCAUGCGCUCCUCUUCCU